rnacentral:lncRNA from 1 species
AAAGAAUUAUUAAAUUCAGCCAGUUUUUUCAAUAUUUGGACGUAUACAAUAAUAAAUAAAUAAAUAAAUAUUUCUCUUCUGUCUCGUUCCUGAUAAAACAUUCGUGAAUUUUACAUUGCACAUUAAUGUGUGCUAAUGAAAUUAAAUAAUAUAAAGAGAUAAGGUUACGGUGACUAUAUGUUCUUUAUGUUAAGUAGCUAUUUCGCAGAUUUAUAUAGUUUUUAAAACUUAAUUUUACCCUUUAUUUUAAAAAUAAUAUCGCAAAUUCUUUCUUGAAAAUUAGCGUUCCAGUAUCUAAUGAGCAAAUUUUUAUGAAAACAAAUUUAAUUUCGUGCAAUAUAAUUUGUGUCUUUCGACAAUUGUGCUUUUUAAUUUUUUUAAAUUAAAAUUAUUCAAAUUAAAUCUGUAUAUGUUUCACUUUUUAUUAUUUUAGACCGAUUUCAUAUUUAAAACAAGAGUUGGCUUCUUUUUUAAUACAGACGAACCAAUAAUACGGUUUCAAAUUAUUAUAAAAUUGUAUGGUAUAUAUAAUUCUGAUACAUUGCGAACAAUUUUUGAUCAAAACAUCGAGCCGCGCCAUGUAUGUGGUUAAUCUCCUUUCGGAAGUAGAGCUCAUGUUUUCACGUGAUAUUUGGCGCCAGGCAUGAGCCGAAGCGUUAGAGUUUUCCUAUUGCCAGGCGGUACCGCGGUACCAUCUCAGUACCAUCGCGAACACGCAAGCGGGUGGCCGCGAUCAUUUACGCUCUGCGUUUUUCCGCGCGGCAACUCGGCAAGUGUCGUCUGUUUAGUGCCGCGAGGGGAGAUCUCAUCGCGUUCCUCGCGUCCCCGUUGAUCGAGCGCGAAUUUCCCCGCGGAAGGCAUCGCUGGGGCCGGCCGGGGAUACCGGUGUCCGGCGUACGGAACAAGAGUGUCGCGUCGCCGCCAUUAAUUGUCUCGUCCUUUUGGUGCCGCGAGAUGAGAUCUCGUCGCGUUCCUCUCAAUCCUCUCGUCGAUCGAGAGCGAGUCUCCUCGCGGAAGGCAUCGUCGGGGAUGCCGAACCGAGUCGACGCCGUUAAUCGACGUGUAAAAAGUGGUCGCGUCCUUCGCGCCCCUCUCCCCUCCCCCUCUCGUGUGUGAGAAAUUGGCGCGAAAUCGCUUGAGUUUUUCGUCGCGUACGUUGUGUACACAGUGACGGUCAUGUGUGAUGCGGUUCAUCAUCAUACAACGGUUGCACGCGUUCGUGUCGUGUCGCAGUCCCCGUCUCCGCUCGAUCUCGUCGCGUUCUCGCGUCCCCGUCGAUCGAGAGCGAAUCUCCCCGUGGAAGGCAUCGCCGGUGUCCGGCGUACGCAACGUAGAGUGUCGCGUCGCCGCCAUUAAUUGUCUCGUCUCUUUAGUGCCGCGAGGUGAGGUCUCGUCGCGUUCCUCGCGGUCCUCUCGUCGGUCGAGAGCGAGUUUCCCCGCGGAAGGCAUCUCAAUCGGGGAUGCCGAAUCGAGCCGACAUGCCGUUAAUCGGCAUGCAAAGUGGUCGUGUCCUUCGCGGCGUCAUCAGCAUUUCUGAUCGUGUCGAACGUGUGCGUGCGAGUACGUGUGUGUGUGUGCGAACGCAACAAGGAAAACAUCGAUUCGUCGGCUGAAAGCGCAGAAUCCCGACGGAUGCGAGAUGAUUAUACUAGAGAAACCGACAAACGCCAGGAAGCUAAAUCAGCCCUCGUGCUCGCAGAAUUUAGAUGACCUUUUGUAAGGAAAAGCGCAAAAGAUACGUAUAUACAUUUCUUUAUUACGAAAAGCUGCUAGACAGGUUAGAUGAGACAAACAUAUAUCAACUAUUACAAUAUUGGAGAUACCGCCACAAGAAAGAUUUAACUGUUUUUCUCCUUUCUUUUUAUCUGUAACUUAGUUACACUUCUAUUUGUGCCUAUUAACUAAUUAAAUUGUUUUAUUUUGAUAAUUAUUUAACGUUUUAAAGUUACUUAUAUAUAUAAUCGUUAAAGUUUUAAAUUAUUCUUUAAAAAAAAAAUCUUACACUAUUGGUUGACACUAAUUUUAUUACAAAUUAAACGAAUUUCUUAGUUGAAAAGUAUUGAUUUAAAAGUAAUUUUGGUAAUAUGCUUUAAAUAUAAAUAUGUGAUUCUAAGUUUUGUUUAUAAUGAAUCACUUUUGAAUAUAGUGCCAUAUGAAUCACGAUUUCUCGCUAUUUUUUUACAAAAUCCGAGUGAAAGAUCCGAGAGAAGUUUGUUGAAAAGCCUUUUGAUAUCUUGCUAUGAUGGUAUAAUUUUUGGUUAGGAGCCGAUUAUAGUUAUUUGAUUGAUAAGUGAUACAAGCUCAAGCUCAAUUUUCUUUUGUUAAAUUCACUAUGUUUUAUAUAUAAGGUUUGGCGAAACAUGUCCGUCUCUGUUGGCUCCUCAGAACGGUCUCCAAACGCGUACAUAUAUCUGUGUAAGAGAAAGAAAAGGGAAAAAAGACAAAAAGACAAAGACUUACUAUAACAAACUUCUAUUUUUUUUACGCUCUUAUAUCUUAUUCAUGACGUUUUUUAUACAGCUGUAACAACUCACCCAUGUUACUUUUCGUUCACCCUACAUUUGCUUUUACUAAAAAACUAUCAUAUAUUCACUACAUAAUGUAACAUUAUAUUUAAAGUAUUGUAUAUGUAUAUAAUUUAUGAACAUUUCAUAUUAUUAUAUAUAUACAAAAAUAAUAGUAUGCAACUUAUCUUUGUCCAAGUUCUAAAUAUUUGGAACGGUCUCGCGAUUUUUCUCUGGUCAUUUCGUUUUGUGAGAAGUAAUCAAUUUUUGUAGUUUGGUGACUUUUUGAACUUAAAAUUAUUGUAAUUGGAAGAUGAUCGCUGCCCAUGCUGUCCUCACUCGUCCUCCACGUGGUAUAUCUCACAAAAGAACCUGAUAUUAAGGAGAUAUUCGGGGCACUAAGAAAAUUUGGGAUUCCAGAUAUUCUAGUUGGGGAGCCGUCAUUGAGGAAAACAAAUGGUGAAUGGUUCAAGACUUCUAUUAAUGAUUUCCCCUGUUCAUUUGAGUAGGAAGAGUCCUAUGAAUUAUUUUGAGCGUUAAAGUCUCCGCAUACUACUAUGUUUAAUUCAAGCGAUUUAUUUUGGAGUAUGUUAAAAAAAGUUGCCACUUUGUCUUACUAAUAUUUUUGUCUGGUGGUCUAUAGAAAUCAGUAGUUCUUUUUCUUUAGAGUUUGUUCCUUUGCCGAAAGAUAUGGCACUAUAUUCAAGCCUAAAAUUUAUGGGCAAAUCAAGAUUGAUUCUGUAAGGGUUUAGACAAUUUUUGGCUAUAAUUGCAGUUCCUCCUCCUAUUAUGUUGUUGAUUCUAUCAUUUUUGAAAGUUGUAUAGUUUUUAAACUCAUGACUAUGGUUCUUUUUAAGUUCGGGGCCUUACGACUCGCACUGCUAGCCUUACCACAUCGCAUCUUAUGCAAAGCUUAAUAAAUAUUCAUAAAUAAAUAAAUAAAUAAAAACUUGCAAUUGAUGCGGCUUACGCCAAUGUCAUAGUGUAAAAUUGGUUCUCCUUCUUGCUUGGGUGUAAAGUGCCCUUGCUGUCCGGAUCACCCGAUGUCCUGCAGUAAAAGACCAUAAAGCGGCAAUAAAUAAAUAAAUAAAUAAAUAAAUAAAUAAA